AGACGAAGCCGAAGCGAAAGCGAGUCUUAAUAGGGCGUGCAGUUGUUGGGGGUAGACCCGAAACCGAGUGAUCUAUCCAUGGCCAGGUUGAAGCGCGAGUAAGAUCGCGUGGAGGACCGAACCCACCAAAGUUGAAAAUUUGGGGGAUGAGCUGUGGAUAGGGGUGAAAGGCCAAUCAAACUCGGAAAUAGCUGGUUCUCUCCGAAAUAUAUUUAGGUAUAGCCUCGGAUGGUUACCACUGGAGGUAGAGCACUGAAUGGGUUAGGGGUCUCACCAGAUUACCGACCCCAAUCAAACUCCGAAUGCCAAUGAGUUCAGUCCGGGAGUCAGUCAGGGGGAGAUAACUUCCUUUGACGAGAGGGAAACAACCCAGACCGCCGGCUAAGGUCCCAAAGUUCAUGCUAAGUGGAAAAGGAGGUGGGAGCGCAUUGACAACCAGGAGGUUGGCUUAGAAGCAGCCA
rnacentral:rRNA from 1 species